rnacentral:rRNA from 1 species
GACGAACGCUGGCGGCGUGCUUAACACAUGCAAGUCGAGCGGUAAGGCCCUUUCGGGGGUACACGAGCGGCGAACGGGUGAGUAACACGUGGGUGACCUGCCCUCAGCUCUGGGAUAAGCCUGGGAAACCGGGUCUAAUACUGGAUAUGACUCCAUGACGCAUGUUGUGGGGUGGAAAGCCUUGUGCGGCUGAGGAUGGGCCCGCGGCCUAUCAGCUUGUUGGUGGGGUGANGGCCUACCAAGGCGACGACGGGUAGCCGGCCUGAGAGGGCGACCGGCCACACUGGGACUGAGACACGGCCCAGACUCCUACGGGAGGCAGCAGUGGGGAAUCUUGCGCAAUGGGCGAAAGCCUGACGCAGCGACGCCGCGUGAGGGAGUGACGGCCGUCGGUUG